CCAUUAUCACAGACUUACCCGCU
rnacentral:siRNA from 1 species